AGCAGGGCUCACAAGAAGAAGAAUCCUUGUGCUGAAGAACCCUAUACACUCUUACAUACUGGAUCCAGAUUUCCAGCGCUGGAGGUCUGUGGUGAACCACCCACUGCUGGCAGCGGUCUAACCCGGCUGAGGCAGCGGAUGGGGUGGGUGUUGAAUCUAAGGCCCCCGUGGAGAGCACUGGAGACCAGACCAGCCCUGCUGAAUCAUGCUAAAUGAAGAUGAAACAGUGCUGGACUGCUGUGGUUGUGUGUGAAAGUGCAGCUGUGUAGUUUCCAUGAAAUUCUGUUCCCGCAUAUGACAAAGUGCGCAGUCGACAAGGUUAAGGAGAAGAAACAGAAUCUCUCAAGUGAGCACGGCCAACAAAUCGCUCUGUGUAACUCUACCUCUCCAUGGCUA